rnacentral:rRNA from 1 species
GACGAACGCUGGCGGCGUGCCUAAUACAUGCAAGUCGAACGCAGUGGGGACGGGUGAGUAACACGUGGGUAACCUCCCAUCAGAGGGGAUAACACUUGGAAACAGGUGCUAAACCGAUCUUGAUGGAUGGACCCGGGUGGCAUUAGCUAGUUGGUGAGGUAACGGCUCACCAAGGCCACGAUGCAGAGCGUACCUGCGAGGUUGAGCGGCCACACUGGAACUGAGACACGGCCCAGAAUCCUACGGGAGGCAGCAGUAGGGAAUCUUCGGCAAUGGACGAAAGUAUGACCGAGCCACGCCGCGUGAGUGAAGAAGGUUUUCGGAUCGUAAAAAUCUGUUGUUAGAGAAGCGGUAACUAACCAGAAAGCCACGGCUAAAUACGUGCCAGCAGCCGCGGUAAUAC